rnacentral:rRNA from 1 species
ACUCCUACGGGAGGCAGCAGUGGGGAAUCUUGCGCAAUGGGCGAAAGCCUGACGCAGCAACGCCGCGUGGGGGAUGAAGGCUCUCGGGUUGUAAACCGCUUUUGUCAGGGAAGAAAUCUUCUGGGUUAAUACCUCGGGAGGAUGAUGGUACCUGAAGAAUAAGCACCGGCUAACUACGUGCCAGCAGCCGCGGUAAUG